rnacentral:rRNA from 1 species
AGAGUUUGAUCCUGGCUCAGAACGAACGCUGGCGGCACGCUUAAUACAUGCAAGUCGAACGAGAAAGUCUCCUUCGGGAGGCGAUUAAAGUGGCGCACGGGUGAGUAAUACGUGGGUGACCUGUCCUGUAAUGGGGGAUAACAGAGAGAAGUCUCUGCUAAUACCGCAUGAGCUGAACGACUUUGGAAGGAGUUCAAGAAAGAUGGCCUCUACUUGUAAGCUAUCGUUAUGGGAAGGGCCUGCGGACCAUUAGUUUGUUGGUAAGGUAAUGGCUUACCAAGACUGCGAUGGUUAGCCGGUCUGAGAGGAUGAUCGGCCACACUGGAACUGAGACACGGUCCAGACUCCUACGGGAGGCAGCAGUAGGGAAUAUUGCGCAAUGGGCGAAAGCCUGACGCAGCGACGCCGCGUGAGUGAGGAAGGCCCUCGGGUUGUAAAGCUCUGUCCUAGGGGAAAAACGAUAUAUAAAUUAAUACCUUAUAUAAGUGAUGGUACCUUAGAAGAAAGCACCGGCUAACUUCGUGCCAGCAGCCGCGGUAAUACGAAGGGUGCAAGCGUUGUUCGGAUUUAUUGGGCGUAAAGGGUGAGUAGGCGGAUAGAUAAGUCAAGUGUGAAAUCUCGGGGCUUAACCCCGAAACUGCGCGUGAAACUGUUUAUCUAGAAUCUCGGAGAGGGAAGGGGAAUUUCGCAUGUAGGAGUAAAAUCCGUAGAGAUGCGAAGGAACACCAGAGGCGAAGGCGCCUUCCUGGACGAGUAUUGACGCUGAUGCACGAAAGCGUGGGGAGCAAACAGGAUUAGAUACCCUGGUAGUCCACGCCGUAAACGAUGAGCACUAGUUGUAGGGCAGGUUACUGCUCUGCGACGCAGCUAACGCAUUAAGUGCUCCGCCUGGGGAGUACGGCCGCAAGGCUAAAACUCAAAGGAAUUGACGGGGGCCCGCACAAGCGGUGGAUCAUGUGGUUUAAUUCGAAGCAGCGCGAAGAACCUUACCUAGGUUUGAAAUCCCACGAAUCCCUUCGAAAAGAGGGAGUGCCCUUCGGGGAAUGUGGAGACAGGCGCUGCAUGGCUGUCGUCAGCUCGUGUUGUGAAAUGUUGGGUUAAGUCUCGCAACGAGCGGAACCCCUAUUUUUAGUUGCCAGCAUUAAGUUGGGCACUCUAGAGAGACCGCCGGGGUUAACCCGGAGGAAGGUGGGGAUGACGUCAAGUCCUCAUGGCCCUUAUACCUAGGGCUACACACGUGAUACAAUGGAUGGUACAAAGGGAAGCAGUCCUGCGAAGGUGAGCUAAUCUCAAAAAACCAUUCUCAGUCCGGAUUGGAGUCUGCAACUCGACUCCAUGAAGUUGGAAUCGCUAGUAAUCGCAAAUCAGCAUGCUGCGGUGAAUACGUUCCCGGGCCUUGUACACACCGCCCGUCACACCAUGGGAGUUGACCCAACCUGAAGUCGUGGCCUUAACCUUUUCGGAGGAAGGGAGCGCCCACGGUGGGGUUGAUGACUGGGGUGAAGUCGUAACAAGGUA